rnacentral:rRNA from 1 species
UUUGGUGGGGUCGCCAUGGGCGCAGCCUGAUGCAGCCAUGCCGCGUGUGUGAAGAAGGCCUUCGGGUUGUAAAGCACUUUCAGUCAGGAGGAAAGGUUAGUAGUUAAUACCUGCUAGCUGUGACGUUACUGACAGAAGAAGCACCGGCUAACUCCGUGCCAGCAGCCGCGGUAAUACGGAGGGUGCGAGCGUUAAUCGGAAUUACUGGGCGUAAAGCGUACGCAGGCGGUUUGUUAAGCGAGAUGUGAAAGCCCCGGGCUCAACCUGGGAACUGCAUUUCGAACUGGCAAACUAGAGUGUGAUAGAGGGUGGUAGAAUUUCAGGUGUAGCGGUGAAAUGCGUAGAGAUCUGAAGGAAUACCGAUGGCGAAGGCAGCCACCUGGGUCAACACUGACGCUCAUGUACGAAAGCGUGGGGAGCAAACGGGAUUAGAUACCCCGGUAGUCCACGCCGUUUUUUUAUGUCUACUAGAAGCUCGGAGCCUCGGUUCUGUUUUUCAAAGCUAACGCAUUAAGUAGACCGCCUGGGGAGUACGGCCGCAAGGUUAAAACUCAAAUGAAUUGACGGGGGCCCGCACAAGCGGUGGAGCAUGUGGUUUAAUUCGAUGCAACGCGAAGAACCUUACCUACACUUGACAUACAGAGAACUUACCAGAGAUGGUUUGGUGCCUUCGGGAACUCUGAUACAGGUGCUGCAUGGCUGUCGUCAGCUCGUGUUGUGAGAUGUUGGGUUAAGUCCCGCAACGAGCGCAACCCCUAUCCUUAGUUGCUAGCAGGUAAUGCUGAGAACUCUAAGGAGACUGCCGGUGAUAAACCGGAUGUAAGGUGGGGACGACGUCAGUCAUCUUGGCCCUUACGUGUAGGGGCUACACACGUGCUACAAUGGCGCAUACAGAGUGCUGCGAACUCGCGAGAGUAAGCGAAUCACUUAAA